rfam:Gossypium hirsutum cultivar TM-1 chromosome 20, whole genome shotgun sequence
UGUUUAAAAUUUCAUUCAUUUUUAUUGUUGAAAAUUGGUGUGACUGACAACAAUCAAAUAGUGGUACGUGGCAUGCCACAUAUACUUCAUGUUUACGUACAAUGAUUAGUUUUUAGCAAUAAAAAUGGAUAAGUUUUUAAUA